rnacentral:rRNA from 1 species
CCUACGAGUGGCAGCAGUGAGGAAUAUUGGUCAAUGGGCGCGAGCCUGAACCAGCCAAGUAGCGUGAAGGAUGACUGCCCUACGGGUUGUAAACUUCUUUUAUAAAGGAAUAAAGUGAGGCACGUGUGCCUUUUUGUAUGUACUUUAUGAAUAAGGAUCGUCUAACUCCGUGCCAGCAGCCGCGGGAAUACGGAGGAUCCGAGCUUUAUCCGGAUUUCUUUGGUUUAAAGGGAGCGUAGAUGGGUUGUUACGUCAGUUGUGAACGUUUGCGGCUCAACCGUAAAAUUGCAAUUGACACUGGCAGCCUUGAGUACAGUUGAGGUAGGCGGAAUUCGUGGUGUAGCGGUGAAAUGCUUAGAUAUCACGAAGAACUCCGAUUGCGAAGGCAGCCUACUAAACUGCCACUGACAUUGAUGCUCGAAAGUGUGGGUAUCAAACAGGAUUAGAUACCCGGGUAGUC